rnacentral:rRNA from 1 species
CCCUAGUAACUGCGAGUGAAGCGGGAAAAGCUCAAAUUUAAAAUCCUUCGGGAGUUGUAAUCUAUAGAAGUGUUUUCGGUCGUUGCCUCGGACAAGUCUCUUGGAACAGAGCGUCAUAGAGGGUGAGAAUCCCGUCCUUGCCGAGCUCCCAACGUCUAUGUGAUACACUUUCAAAGAGUCGAGUUGUUUGGGAAUGCAGCUCAAAAUGGGUGGUAAACUCCAUCUAAAGCUAAAUAUUGGCGAGAGACCGAUAGCGAACAAGUACCGUGAGGGAAAGAUGAAAAGCACUUUGGAAAGAGAGUUAAACAGUACGUGAAAUUGUUGAAAGGGAAGCGCUUGGAGUCAGUCGCGUUGCAUGGACUCAGCCUCACGGUGUAUUUCUAUGCAACGGGUCAACAUCAAUUUCGAUCGCGGGAUAAGGGCUUGAGGAAUGUGGCAUCUUCGGAUGUGUUAUAGCCUCCUGUCGUACACCGCGGCUGGGAUUGAGGUC